GGACGGGUGAGUAACGCGUGAGUAACCUGCCUUCAAGAGGGGGAUAACAUUCUGAAAAGAAUGCUAAUACCGCAUGACAUAUCGGAACCACAUGGUUCUGAUAUCAAAGAUUUUAUCGCUUGAAGAUGGACUCGCGUCCGAUUAGUUAGUUGGUGAGGUAACGGCUCACCAAGACCGCGAUCGGUAGCCGGACUGAGAGGUUGAACGGCCACAUUGGGACUGAGACACGGCCCAGACUCCUACGGGAGGCAGCAGUGGGGGAUAUUGCGCAAUGGGGGCAACCCUGACGCAGCAACGCCGCGUGAAGGAUGAAGGUUUUCGGAUUGUAAACUUCUUUUAUUAAGGACGAAACUUGACGGUACUUAAUGAAUAAGCUCCGGCUAACUACGUGCCAGCAGCCGCGGUAAUACGUAGGGAGCAAGCGUUGUCCGGAUUUACUGGGUGUAAAGGGUGCGUAGGCGGCUUUGCAAGUCAGAUGUGAAAUCUAUGGGCUCAACCCAUAAACUGCAUUUGAAACUGUAGAGCUUGAGUGAAGUAGAGGCAGGCGGAAUUCCCCGUGUAGCGGUGAAAUGCGUAGAGAUGGGGAGGAACACCAGUGGCGAAGGCGGCCUGCUGGGCUUUAACUGACGCUGAGGCACGAGAGCGUGGGUAGCAAACAGGAUUAGAUACCCUGGUAGUCCACGCUGUAAACGAUGAUUACUAGGUGU
rnacentral:rRNA from 1 species